rnacentral:misc_RNA from 1 species
AAGUCGUAACAAGGUUUCCGUAGGUGAACCUGCGGAAGGAUCAUUAACACGUAUCCAAACGUUAAACCCCCCUGUGAACCUUCACCUGUACUCGUACGUCCGUUAGAAAAAGCAGCAAUCCCUGGUAAAUCAUCGCCGAACAGUUUUCGAUUCAGGGAUGUCUGCAAGGAGCGUGCAUGUUGUGCGAGCAAGUGGCCUGGCAUCCCCAAGCAGUUAGUGUCUGAAAGUGUCAUUAACUGUGUAAGGAUGACGCGCCCACACGGCCGACGACCGGGUCACUGGGCGCAAGCCCCCCUAUAACAAACGCUGCUAAUCGCGGCCGCGAUAAUACGCAGUCGACCAAAAACCGAACAACUGUUAACAAUGGAUAUCUUGGUUCUC